rnacentral:rRNA from 1 species
CGCCUCUUGAAAAGAAAAUAAGAGGUCCAACCUGCCCAGUGAAAAUUUUCAACGGCCGCGGUAUCCUGACCGUGCUAAGGUAGCGCAAUCACUUGCCCUUUAAUUGGGGGCUAGUAUGAAUGGUCAAACGAGGGUGAAGCUGUCUCCCUCUGGAAACCGAGAAAUUAUCCUACAUGUGAAGAGACAUGUAUACAUUAGGAAGACGAGAAGACCCUGUCAAGCUUCACAGGACUUUUUUUAAUAAACCAGAAAAAUUGCCCUGUUUUGUUGGGGCAACACCGGAACAGAAGCUUCCGGCCACCACUACCCCUCUUAACCUAUAAGAUCCGGCAGGGCCGAACACAGAACAAGCUACUGCAGGGAUAACAGGCUAAUCCGUCUCGAGAGCCCACAUUGACAGACGGGACUGGCACCUCGAUGUUGGCUUAGGGGCCCUGGCCGAGGCAGCACUUGGCCAAAGGAGGUUUGUUCAACCUAUAAUCCCCUA